AAAGGAUUUGGAUUUAUUACUUAUUCUCAAUCAUCUAUGGUUGAUCAAGCCAUGUCAAACAGACCUCAUAAAAUUGAUGGUCGUGAAGUUGAAACUAAACGAGCUGUACCACGUGAUGAUAUUGAUAAACCAGAUAUUGCAGCUACUGUGAAAAAAAUGUUCGUUUCUGGUAUAAAAGAACAAUCAGAAAAUGAUCUACUUGAAUAUUUUGGAAAAUUUGGCAAUAUCACUAAUGUAACAAUAGUAACUGAUAAAGAUUCUGGUCAACGAAAAGGAUUUGGAUUUAUUGAGUAUGAUGAUACCGAUUCCGUUGACAAAGCUGUUUUGAUCAAAAGUCAUCAAGUUGCUGGAGGAAAAUUGGAUGUGAAAAAAGCUAUUAGUCGUAGUGACGGCGGCGGUGGUGGCCGAGGUGGACGUGGUGGUCGUGGCGGUGGAGGUGGAGGGGGUGGUAAUAGAAGUAGCUGGGGAGGAAAUCCUCGAAAUGAACAAUGGGGAGGACAUCAUAACAGAUCAAAUGGUGGAGGUGGAGGAUAUGGAAAUUCUGGAAUGGGAGGAGGAUAUGGCUCUGGCGGUGGCGGAGGUGGGUAUGGUGGUAGUGCAGGUGGAUACAAUUCCAAUUCUGGUGGAGCCUGGCAAGGUGGCGGUGGUGCUCCUCAAAGUUGGGGUAACAACAAUCCUGCAUGGGGCAACCAAGGAGGUGGUGGUGAUAGUUGGGGAGGUUCGCAACAACCCAGUAACAACUGGGGUCCAAAUCAAAGUUAUGGCGGCGGUGGUGGCCCGAUGAGGUCUAAUUAUACCUCUAAUAAUCGUUCUACACCUUAUGGAAACCCAGGUAGAGCUGGUAAUGUAAAUGCAGGUAAUGCUGGCUAUGGUCAAAAUCCUGGUCGACGGUACUAACACAUCACUUUCAACUAAAGGAAAGAAAGAUGACCAAUGAUGAAAUUUUACCAUGAAUGGUUUUUUAAUAUUUUUGAUGUUGAGUGCUGUACUGAAAGGAAAUUUACUCUAGUGCAAGAUUUAUAAAAAAUAAAAUUGAUACUGAAUAGUUACGUCUGGACUCGUAUUGAAGUCUAAGUCUGAUACCUGUUGAUGGGUGAUUUGAAAAUUUUCAU
rnacentral:misc_RNA from 1 species